UCCUGCCACUCCUCCCCAUCGUCCUCCGCGGCAGAGCUCGCGCCAGCACUGGAGAGGAAUAAUAACCCUUGGUCGGAGCGGCAGAACGCGCCGCCACUCGACGAGGAGCUUGCCAGCUCGUGCAGUAUCUCCGGGGGCACGAACAGAACCUCUAGAUCCCGGUGCUGCUGCAACGACGGCGGCGCCGUGUCAGGCCAGAGGAUGUCCGCUUCAUGGAAUUCGUCCAUGGCCGCCUUCCCUCCACCGGG
rnacentral:lncRNA from 1 species